rnacentral:rRNA from 1 species
UACGAAGGGGGCUAGCGUUGCUCGGAAUCACUGGGCGUAAAGCGCACGUAGGCGGCUUUCUAAGUCAGGGUGAAAUCCUGGAGCUCAAACUCCAGAAUGCCUUUGAUUACUGGAGAGCUUGAGUCCGGAAGAGGUGAGUGGAACUCCGAGUGUAGAGGUGAAAUUCGUAGAUAUUCGGAAGAACACCAGUGCGAAGGCGGCUCACUGGUCCGGUACUGACGCUGAGGUGCGAAAGCGUGGGAGCAAACAAGGAUUGAGAUAACCCU